rnacentral:rRNA from 1 species
ACCACAUGCAAGUCGAGCGGGGUGAUGGUGCUUGCACUAUCACCUAGCGGCGGACGGGUGAGUAAUGCUUAGGAAUCUGCCUAUUAGUGGGGGACAACAUUUCGAAAGGAAUGCUAAUACCGCAUACGUCCUACGGGAGAAAGCAGGGGAUCUUCGGACCUUGCGCUAAUAGAUGAGCCUAAGUCGGAUUAGCUAGUUGGUGGGGUAAAGGCCUACCAAGGCGACGAUCUGUAGCGGGUCUGAGAGGAUGAUCCGCCACACUGGGACUGAGACACGGCCCAGACUCCUACGGGAGGCAGCAGUGGGGAAUAUUGGACAAUGGGCGCAAGCCUGAUCCAGCCAUGCCGCGUGUGUGAAGAAGGCCUUAUGGUUGUAAAGCACUUUAAGCGAGGAGGAGGCUACUUUAGAUAAUACCUAGAGAUAGUGGACGUUACUCGCAGAAUAAGCACCGGCUAACUCUGUGCCAGCAGCCGCGGUAAUACAGAGGGUGCAAGCGUUAAUCGGAUUUACUGGGCGUAAAGCGCGCGUAGGCGGCUAAUUAAGUCAAAUGUGAAAUCCCCGAGCUUAACUUGGGAAUUGCAUUCGAUACUGGUUAGCUAGAGUGUGGGAGAGGAUGGUAGAAUUCCAGGUGUAGCGGUGAAAUGCGUAGAGAUCUGGAGGAAUACCGAUGGCGAAGGCAGCCAUCUGGCCUAACACUGACGCUGAGGUGCGAAAGCAUGGGGAGCAAACAGGAUUAGAUACCCUGGUAGUCCAUGCCGUAAACGAUGUCUACUAGCCGUUGGGGCCUUUGAGGCUUUAGUGGCGCAGCUAACGCGAUAAGUAGACCGCCUGGGGAGUACGGUCGCAAGACUAAAACUCAAAUGAAUUGACGGGGGCCCGCACAAGCGGUGGAGCAUGUGGUUUACUUCGAUGCAACGCGAAGAACCUUACCUGGCCUUGACAUAGUAAGAACUUUCCAGAGAUGGAUUGGUGCCUUCCGGGAACUUAACAUACAGGUGCUGCAUGGCUGUCGUCAGCUCGUGGUCGUGAGAUGUUGGGUUAAGUCCCGCACGAGCGCAACCCUUUUCCUUAUUUGCCAGCGAGUAUGUCCGGAACUUAGGAUUACUGCCAGUGAACAACUUGAGGAAGGCGGGGACGAACGUCAGUCA